rnacentral:rRNA from 1 species
GAUCGGCCCGCGUCUGAUUAGCUAGUUGGUGAGGUAAAGGCUCACCAAGGCGACGAUCAGUAGCUGGUCUGAGAGGAUGAUCAGCCACAUUGGGACUGAGACACGGCCCAAACUCCUACGGGAGGCAGCAGUGGGGAAUCUUGCGCAAUGGGCGAAAGCCUGACGCAGCCAUGCCGCGUGAAUGAUGAAGGUCUUAGGAUUGUAAAAUUCUUUCACCGGGGACGAUAAUGACGGUACCCGGAGAAGAAGCCCCGGCUAACUUCGUGCCAGCAGCCGCGGUAAUACGAAGGGGGCUAGCGUUGCUCGGAAUUACUGGGCGUAAAGGGAGCGUAGGCGGACUGUUAAGUUAGAGGUGAAAGCCCAGGGCUCAACCUUGGAAUUGCCUUUGAUACUGGCAGUCUUGAGUACGGAAGAGGUAUGUGGAACUCCGAGUGUAGAGGUGAAAUUCGUAGAUAUUCGGAAGAACACCAGUGGCGAAGGCCACAUACUGGUCCGUUACUGACGCUGAAGCUCGAAAGCGUGGGGAGCAAAACAGAUUAGAUACCCUGGUAGUCCACGCCGUAAACGAUGAGUGCUAGUUGUCGGCAUGCAUGCAUGUCCGGGAACCCACCUUACGCAAUUAAUCACUCCGCCUGGGGGA